AUCCAGUUGAUGAGUCUCAAAUAAGACGAAACACGCGUCAAACUGGAU
rnacentral:hammerhead_ribozyme from 1 species